rnacentral:rRNA from 1 species
CCUACGGGAGGCAGCAGUGGGGAAUAUUGGACAAUGGGCGCAAGCCUGAUCCAGCAAUGCCGCGUGAGUGAUGAAGGCCUUAGGGUCGUAAAGCUCUUUUACCAGGGAUGAUAAUGACAGUACCUGGAGAAUAAGCUCCGGCUAACUCCGUGCCAGCAGCCGCGGUAAUACGGAGGGAGCUAGCGUUGUUCGGAAUUACUGGGCGUAAAGCGUACGUAGGCGGUUAUUCAAGUCAGAGGUGAAAGCCCGGGGCUCAACCCCGGAACGGCCUUUGAAACUAGGUAGCUAGAAUCUUGGAGAGGUCAGUGGAAUUCCGAGUGUAGAGGUGAAAUUCGUAGAUAUUCGGAAGAACACCAGUGGCGAAGGCGACUGACUGGACAAGUAUUGACGCUGAGGUACGAAAGCGUGGGGAGCAAACAGGAUUAGAUACCCUGGUAGUCCACGCCGUAAAACGAUGAUAACUAGCUGUCCGGGCACUUGGUGCCGUGGGGUGGCGGCGACGACUACGACAUUAAGUUAUUACCGUCCGUCGGGUAGGUACGGUCGGCGAGAAGUUAAAACUUAAAAUUAAGUAAGUUAGUACGGACGUGAGACGUACGCCGAACGGACGACCGACGAGGGAGGUAGG